rnacentral:rRNA from 1 species
UGGGGAAUAUUGCACAAUGGGCGCAAGCCUGAUGCAGCCAUGCCGCGUGUGUGAAGAAGGCCUUCGGGUUGUAAAGCACUUUCAGCGGGGAGGAAGGCGUUAAGGUUAAUAACCUUGGCGAUUGACGUUACCCGCAGAAGAAGCACCGGCUAACUCCGUGCCAGCAGCCGUGGUAAUACGGAGGGUGCAAGCGUUAAUCGGAAUUACUGGGCGUAAAGCGCACGCAGGCGGUCUGUCAAGUCGGAUGUGAAAUCCCCGGGCUCAACCUGGGAACUGCAUUCGAAACUGGCAGGCUAGAGUCUUGUAGAGGGGGGUAGAGUUCCAGGUGUAGCGGUGAAAUGCGUAGAGAUCUGGAGGAAUACCGGUGGCGAAGGCGGCCCCCUGGACAAAGACUGACGCUCAGGUGCGAAAGCGUGGGGAGCAAACAGG